AUGCGAAUAAAUUUCUGGUCUUGUUUUAUUGUUUCCAGAUGAACCUACUUUCUCGUUGUUUCUUGUAUCUGAUUAGUCUAGUUUACUGAUGUUGCUUCAGUUCCAAACACAGCACCAAAAAGCUGUUUAAUGCAACCUCCUGGGGGUAGUUCUCGCUCCUGGCAAGAGUAUUAUAGCAACUGGUAAUAUUUAUGUGUUGAUUUCUGCACUUCCCUUUCUUUCACAAUAAUUUAGGGCGCUUAAGGAUGCGUUUGUGUAUUUCUUAUUUCUUGCUCUGGUCCUGGUGUUGGAUGAAUCUACUAGUAUUCAAGUUUGUAAAGCCUCCAGAGAACAAUGAAAAGCCAACAGAUCAGAAAGGCAAAGUGAAGUUUAAAAUCAUGAGCCUAAAGAUGAAUGGACCGAUGGACUACAUAGCAGAACUGGUUUGAUGAGCAGAAGGAUGAAGUGGCUGUGGAACAGAUACUUCGGGUUGUAUUUCUAGAUGUGGAACGUCCUAGCCCAUUAAGUAACGAUUCUAGACAGUGGUUCCUACAACAUAUACUGCAUUUGCUGAACUGCUUUGAAGCUUCAUCUUUUGCAUGCAUUUUUACAUUGAAAAUGUUGAUUUGUGAGAUUAUCUGCCUGCUGAAUCUUUGAAGGCUCUAGAAAAACUGAAGCGGCAGUUGGCUGAAGCUGAGGCUGAAUUGGAGGCUCGCAAGAAGCCUCUAGAAGACGCCAUUUAUUGGUAAAGGACGUGUCAUUUAUGAAUGGAAAGAAAAAAGAGAAAGAUAUCUAGCACGUCAACAAGUUGAAGGGACAGACUCUGUAUGACUGUAGGUUUGUUGUUCUCCUGCUGCUGGAAAUUUCUAUUCUGGGCUUUAGAUGAGUAUAAUGAACUUUUUGUAUCAAUGAACACUUUGUUACAAGUGUUGGUAGGAGAUAUUUGACUGUCAACGGGACAACUGAGUAAAAACUGUAAUUUUUAGGUGAUGAGUUUGGCCUGUUGCCACAUUUAUGUAGAUAUUAUGAUUUUGCUUCUUUAAGCGUGGAAAAAAAUUAUAUAUUUCGGGUUUCUUUUA